UGGGGAAUAUUGGACAAUGGGCGAAAGCCUGAUCCAGCCAUGCCGCGUGUGUGAAGAAGGUCUUCGGAUUGUAAAGCACUUUAAGUUGGGAGGAAGGGCAGUAAGUUAAUACCUUGCUGUUUUGACGUUACCAACAGAAUAAGCACCGGCUAACUUCGUGCCAGCAGCCGCGGUAAUACGAAGGGUGCAAGCGUUAAUCGGAAUUACUGGGCGUAAAGCGCGCGUAGGUGGUUUGGUAAGAUGGAUGUGAAAUCCCCGGGCUCAACCUGGGAACUGCAUCCAUAACUGCCUGACUAGAGUACGGUAGAGGGUGGUGGAAUUUCCUGUGUAGCGGUGAAAUGCGUAGAUAUAGGAAGGAACACCAGUGGCGAAGGCGACCACCUGGACUGAUACUGACACUGAGGUGCGAAAGCGUGGGGAGCAAACA
rnacentral:rRNA from 1 species